CCUUCUGAUGUGAAAUGACAACUUUUUAGAUCUUGACAACUUUGCUAUUUUCUUUGGUGCAAAUGGGAGGAGAGAGAGCUGGCAUCUUCCCAUUUAGCUGAAAGG